rnacentral:rRNA from 1 species
AGACGUCUACAUUAGAUACCCCUGUAGUCCCAGCCGUAAACUAUGCGCGUUAGGUGUAUCGGUGACCACGAGUUACCGAGGUGCCGAAGGGAAACCGUGAAACGUGCCGCCUGGGAAGUACGGUCGCAAGGCUGAAACUUAAAGGAAUUGGCGGGGAGGCACCACAACGGGUGGAGCCUGCGGUUUAAUUGGACUCAACGCCGGGAAGCUCACCGGAUAGGACAGCAGAAUGAUUGCCGGGCUGAAGACCCUGCAUGACUAGCUG